AUUAAACUAAAGAGUUUGAUCCUGGCUCAGGACGAACGCUGGCGGCGUGCCUAACACAUGCA
rnacentral:rRNA from 1 species